rnacentral:misc_RNA from 1 species
CAAUCACUAAAUAAUGUGAU